rnacentral:rRNA from 1 species
GACGAACGCUGGCGGCGUGCUUAACACAUGCAAGUCGAACGGAAAGGCCCUGCGAUCGUGCGGUGCUCGAGUGGCGAUCGCGUGAGUAACACGUGAGUAACCUGCCCUUGACUUUGGGAUAACUUCAGGAAACUGGGGCUAAUACCGGAUAGGAGCUCCUGCUCCAUGGUGGGGGUUGGAUAUUUUAGGCGGGUGGGGAUGGACUCGCGGCUUAUCAGCUUGUUGGUGGGGGAGUGGCUUACCAAGGAUUUGACCGGUAGCCGGCCUGAGAGGGUGGCCGGGGACAUUGGUACUGCGAAAGGGAGCAGUCUGCAAGGGUAGGCAGCGGUGGCGAAUCUUGCACAGUGGGAGGAAGCCUGAUACAGAGACGUCGCGGGCGGGAUGACGGCCUUCGGGUUGGAAAACGCUUCCGCCUGUGACGAAGCGUGAGUGACGGUAAUGGAUAAAUAAGCACCGGCUAACUACGUG